GAUGAACGCUAGCGGCAGGCCUAAUACAUGCAAGUCGAGGGGCAGCGCGGUAGCAAUACUGGCGGCGACCGGCGCACGGGUGCGUAACACGUAUGCAACCUACCUUCAACUGGAGGAUAGCCCGGGGAAACUCGGAUUAAUACUCCAUAACACAGGGAUCCCGCAUGGGAAUAUUGUUAAAGCUACGGCGGUUGAAGAUGGGCAUGCGUUCGAUUAGCUAGUUGGUGUAGGUAACGGCUCACCAAGGCUACGAUCGAUAGGGGGUCUGAGAGGAUGAUCCCCCACACUGGUACUGAGAUACGGACCAGACUCCUACGGGAGGCAGCAGUAGGGAAUAUUGGUCAAUGGGCGCAAGCCUGAACCAGCCAUGCCGCGUGCAGGAAGAAGGCCCCUCUGGGGUUGUAAAACUGCUUUUGAUAGGGAACAAAUGCCACUUGCGAGUGGAGCUGAGUGUACCUAUAGAAUAAGCACCGGCUAAACUCCGUGCCAGCAGCCGCGGUAA
rnacentral:rRNA from 1 species